ACUCCUACGGGAGGCAGCAGUAGGGAAUUUUCCGCAAUGGACGAAAGUCUGACGGAGCAAUGCCGCGUGAGUGAUGAAGGUUUUCGAAUCGUAAAGCUCUGUUGUUAAGGGAAGAAUAGCAAGGAAUAGGAAAUGAUUCUUGUCUGACUGGUACCUUACCAGAAAGCCACGGCUAACUACGUGCCAGCAGCCGCGGUAAUACGGAGGGUGCAAGCGUUAAUCGGAAUUACUGGGCGUAAAGCGAGUGUAGGCGGC
rnacentral:rRNA from 1 species